GACGUAGGGCGCGAGCGUUGUCCGGAUUUAUUGGGCGUAAAGAGCUCGUAGGCGGCUUGUCGCGUCGUCCGUGAAAACCUGGGGCUCAACCCCAGGCUUGCGGUCGAUACGGGCAGGCUCGAGUUCGGUAGGGGAGACUGGAAUUCCUGGUGUAGCGGUGAAAUGCGCAGAUAUCAGGAGGAACACCGGUGGCGAAGGCGGGUCUCUGGGCCGAUACUGGCGCUGAGGAGCGAAAGCGUGGGGAGCGAACAGG
rnacentral:rRNA from 1 species